CGGGUGAGUAACACGUGGAUAACCUACCUAUAAGACUGGGAUAACUUCGGAAACCGGAGCUAAUACCGGAUAAUAUAUUGAACCGCAUGGUUCAAUAGUGAAAGACGGUUUUGCUGUCACUUAUAGAUGGAUCCGCGCUGCAUUAGCUAGUUGGUAAGGUAACGGCUUACCAAGGCAACGAUGCGUAGCCGACCUGAGAGGGUGAUCGGCCACACUGGAACUGAGACACGGUCCAGACUCCUACGGGAGGCAGCAGGC
rnacentral:rRNA from 1 species